UCCUACGGGAGGCAGCAGUGGGGAAUCUUGCACAAUGGGGGAAACCCUGAUGCAGCGACGCCGCGUGAGCGAUGAAGCCCUUCGGGGUGUAAAGCUCUUUCGGCAGGGAAGAUAGUGACGGUACCUGCAGAAGCAGCUGCGGCUAACUACGUGCCAGCAGCCGCGGUAAUACGUAGGCAGCAAGCGUUGUUCGGAGUUACUGGGCGUAAAGGGUGCGUAGGCGGCCAAUUAAGUUUGUCGUGAAAUCUCCCGGCUUAACUGGGAGGGUGCGGCGAAUACUGACUGGCUGGAGUGCGGGAGAGGAGAGUGGAAUUCCUGGUGUAGCGGUGAAAUGCGUAGAUAUCAGGAGGAACACCGGCGGUGUAGACGGCUCUCUGGACCGUAACUGACGCUGAGGCACGAAAGCGUGGGUAGCAAACAGGAUUAGAUACCCUGGUAGUCCACGCCCUAAACGAUGCACACUUGGUGUGGGCCGUUCAGUCGGUCCGUGCCGGAGCUAACGCGUUAAGUGUGCCGCCUGGGGAGUACAGUCGCAAGGCUGAAACUCAAAGGAAUUGACGGGGGCCCGCACAAGCGGUGGAGCAUGUGGUUCAAUUCGACGCAACGCGAAGAACCUUACCUGGGCUCGAACGGCCUCCUAACGGCGUUGGAAACAGCGCUAUCCCGCAAGGGAGUGGGGUCGAGGUGCUGCAUGGCUGUCGUCAGCUCGUGUCGUGAGAUGUUGGGUUAAGUCCCGCAACGAGCGCAACCCUUGUCCUGUGUUACCAGACCCGAAAGGGAGGGACUCGCAGGAGACCGCCAGCGAUAAGUUGGAGGAAGGUGGGGAUGACGUCAAGUCCUCAUGGCCUUUAUGUCCAGGGCUACACACGUGCUACAAUGGCCGGUACAAUGCGCAGCGAAGCCGCGAGGUGAAGCCAAUCGCAAAAAACCGGUCUCAGUUCGGAUUGCAGGCUGCAACUCGCCUGCAUGAAGCUGGAAUCGCUAGUAAUGGCAGAUCAGCACGCUGCCGUGAAUACGUUCCCGGGCCUUGUACACACCGCCAU
rnacentral:rRNA from 1 species